AUUCAGUGGAAACUCUCUCUCUCUCUCUCUCUCUCUCUCUCUCUCUCUGUGUGUGUGUGUGUGUGUGUGUGUGAGAGAGAGAGAGAGAGAGGGAGAGAGAGAGAGAGAGAGAGAGAGAGAGAGAGGAGAG
rnacentral:miRNA from 1 species